CUCGCAUCAGCUGUUCUUAACAAGCUACCGAGCACACUGAUUGGUAAAUGGACUGAUUUCGCAUACAAAAGGUUAGAGGAAGACCAGCCUAAGUUGAUCCUCAUCUCCGAGUUUCUUAAACAAGAAGCACAAAUGUUGUCACUAGUUGGAAUGACACAAGCACGUGAACAAAGCAAGUCGAGUGAAAUAAAAACUACAGCGAAAUACUCCGGUGAUAACAAAGUUCGUAUUACUCGGCCCAUAUUGACAACAAAAGUCGUCGAGGAAAAUAAGAAUUGUAAAUUUUGCUCAAAGGAAUUUCACCCGCUGCCCGACUGCCGUGUUUUCAAACGUGCCAUGCGCCGUGACAGAUGGAAGUUCGUCAGAUCCCAAGGACUAUGUUAUUGUUGUCUGACGUCACGACACGACAGGGACACCUGCCCUGCGCCCGUGUGCGACAUAGAUGGUUGUGGACUCGCACACCACAAGAUGCUACACUACAAGAAGCCUACGUCAUCACAAUCAGCUGACGCGGUCGUUGACCCGCCGCCCGAGCCGGCCCCCGCGCAGGCUCAGCCGCCGGCCCCCGAGCCAGCACCCCCGGCCCCCGACACCGUGGCGCACGUUACAUCGGAUUGUGAUAAAUCUUCUUGUGAGGACAACGUUAUGUUAAAAGUAGUGUCAGUGCAGUUACGUGGACCUAAGGGUACCGUAAGUACCUACGCCCUUUUAGACGAUUGCGCAUCUGUGUCUAUGAUAGACUCUGAUUUAGCGGACGAGUUAGGUCUUAAAAAUAAAAAUCCGCGGUCUGUGAUGUUUACCGAUGCGUUUGGACUCGAGGUGUAUCAAUCAGCUGUGCCGAACGUUAUCGCGCAGAUAAGUGGACAAAAUAAUAACAAUAGUUAUAAUAUUAAGUUGCGUAAAGUGUCUAAAUUAAAUUUACCAGCUCAAAACUUGUCUGCAAUUAAAAGUUUAAAUUGUAAACGUUUAUCUCAUAUUAAGGAAUAUGUGUGUAAAAGUCGAGUUAAACCUCGUAUUCUCAUUGGGGAAGAUAAUUAUUACCUAAUCGCUCCGAUAGAAAUAAUUCAUGGUAGUGAAACCGAGCCCUAUGGAUCUCUGUGCAAGUUAGGAUGGUCAAUUCAUGGUAAUUGUGGUCGCACUCACUCUAACGCUGCCAAUGUGUUCCAUCUCAGUCACACAGAUGGCGAAAAUAUAGGUGAACUAAAUGAUUUAAUUAAACAUUCUUUUUCCCUAGACUCCAUAGGAAUUUCAACCUUACGCCGUGAAAAUAGCGAUCAUUUAAGGGCGUUGCAGAUCCUAGAAGAUUCAGCGCGCCUUAUCGGAAAUCAAUGGGAAGUGGGUCUGCCGUUCAAGAAGGACGUAUUCGCCAUGCCAGACACACGCGAAGCUGCCCUUACGCGCCUACAGUCUUUAAUGCGCAAGUUUGUUAAAGAUCACGCGUACGCAGAUCGCUACCGAAUAGAGGUAAACAAACUGUUUGCCGCUGGCUACGCACGUGAGCUCAAGGAAAAUGAACUUUCGGCCGACCGCAUAUGGUAUCUCCCGCACUUCGGAAUUCAGAACCCCAACAAACCUGGACGUUCACCGUAGUGGCGUGGAGUGGAACGACCACAUCCGACCGGAGGAGCACGCGCGCUGGGUAAGGUGGCUCGACGAGCUUAAACUACUAGCGUCGCUGCGCAUCCCUCGACACUACGCGGCCGCGGGGCCAUGGACGCCGUGCUACGAUGAUUCGGCGGAUGGGAAAUUGCCUGUUUAAGGAACAAUAAGCCGUUAUCGAAAGAUAGCCGACUGCUACAGUUAACGCCCUAUCUCGACGAUGCGGGCCUACUACGUGUAGAGGGCCGUAUCGACAAGACUGUUGGAGUCAAUGAGUCUACGAAGAGACCAGUGAUUCUUGAUGGCAAGC